rnacentral:rRNA from 1 species
UGGGGAAUAUUGCACAAUGGGCGCAAGCCUGAUGCAGCGACGCCGCGUGGGGGAUGACGGCCUUCGGGUUGUAAACUCCUUUCGCUAGGGACGAAGCUUUUUGUGACGGUACCUAGAUAAGAAGCACCGGCUAACUACGUGCCAGCAGCCGCGGUAAUACGUAGGGUGCGAGCGUUGUCCGGAAUUACUGGGCGUAAAGGGCUCGUAGGUGGUUUGUCGCGUCGUCUGUGAAAUUCCGGGGCUUAACUCCGGGCGUGCAGGCGAUACGGGCAUAACUUGAGUACUGUAGGGGUAACUGGAAUUCCUGGUGUAGCGGUGAAAUGCGCAGAUAUCAGGAGGAACACCGAUGGCGAAGGCAGGUUACUGGGCAGUUACUGACGCUGAGGAGCGAAAGCAUGGGUAGCGAACAGGAUUAGAUACCCUGGUAGUCCAUGCCGUAAACGGUGGGCGCUAGGUGUGAGGGUCUUUUCACGACUUUCGUGCCGUAGCUAACGCAUUAAGCGCCCCGCCUGGGGAGUACGGCCGCAAGGCUA